rnacentral:rRNA from 1 species
AUUGAACGCUGGCGGCAGGCCUAACACAUGCAAGUCGAGCGAGCGGCGGACGGGUGAGUAAUGUAUGGGGACUGCCCGAUAGAGGGGGAUAACUACUGGAAACGGUGGCUAAUACCGCAUACUAUCGGAUAACCCAUAUGGGAUUAGCUAGUAGGUGGGGUAAAGGCUCACCCAGGCGACGAUCCCUAGCUGGUCUGAGAGGAUGAUCCGCCACACUGGAAAUGAGACACGGCCCACACUCCUAAGGGGGCAGCUGUGGGGAAUAGUGCACAAUGGGCGCAAGCCGGAUGCAGGCAUGCCGCGUGUAUGAAGAAUGCCUUAGGGUUGUAAAGUACUUUCAGCGGGGAGGCGUUACCCGCAGAAGAAGCACCGUCUAACUCAGUACAAGCGGCCGCGGUAAUUC